AUUGCACGCUGGCGGCAGGCCUAACACAUGCAAGUCGAACGAGUGGCGGACGGGUAAGUAAUGUCUGGGAAACUGCAUGAUGGAGGGGGAUAACUACUGGAAACGGUAGAUAAUACCGCAUACCAUCGGAUGUGCCCAGAUGGGAUUAGCUAGUAGGUGGUGUAACUGCUCACCUAGGCGACGAUCCCUCGCUGGUCUGAGAGGAUGACCAGCCACACUGGAACUGAGACACGGUCCAAGCUCCUACGGGAGGGAGCAGUGGGGAAUAGUGUACAAUUGGCGCUAGCCUGAUGCAGCCAUGCCGCGUGUAUGAAGAAGGCCUUCGGGUUGUAAAGUACUUUCAGCGGGGAGGCGUUACCCGCAGAAGAAGCACCGGCUAACUCCGUGCCAGCAGCCGCGGUAAUUC
rnacentral:rRNA from 1 species